AUUUCCAUUGCAAAAUGAACUAUCACCAUCGCUUUUUGAUAUGAAGUACAGACAAGUCCGUAUUGGAAUAAUGGAAUACAAAACCGAUAAAUAUAAAGAUGGAUUGAAAUUCAUUCAGGAUAAAAAAUUUGGACAUCAACUGAAAACAGCUUUGACGUCCCUGCAGCGACUUUCGGAGACGAAAUUAUCUAAGUAGCCUAAAGUUUUGCACGUGUUCAACAUUAUUUUACUGUUUCAAUGUAUUCCUGUAUCAUUAUACUAUCAAAAUAUAUGGUAAAAUGGAAUUUGAAACUGAAAUGACUGAAAUGUUUUAUUUAUUUUCCAGUAUUUUUGAAAUAUUAUGCGCUACUUAGCAUAUUCCAUAAACAAAACUAUAAGAAAAUCAAGUUGUCUACAUUGCUAGCAUUAUUCACAAGCCAGUAAUAUCCUGGACAAGUCGUCUGAUCUUAAAACAUUUUUAAGUUCUAAAUAACCAUGUCAAAAAUACUGGAAAAUAAGGUACGGAUUUUUUACUCAGUUACUAGUGUACGUGUUUCGCGCGCGCGAGUAGUUUUUCAUAUAUUUAUUUCAAUGUAUAUUUUCGUGUCGUUUGCAUAUAUUUUUUUUGCUUUCGACCAAUCAAGUAAUCGGAAAAGAGGCUUUAUAUAUUUCACGCCUUUUUUAUUUAAGGAUCGUGCACUCAGGAAAUUACAUGAUCAUGGUUAUUAUCAGGCGGAUAAGCCAUCUCUGCAAUAAUUUAUGUAAAAAAUUGAUAGAACAAUGUCCUGAUGACGGUCAUGGUCACAUAAUUUUUACGGAUUAAUUAUUUUAUUAAAUUUAGUGGCUCAUCCAAAUAAUGGUGUUUUUGUAUCUUUAGAAUACGCCUGAUAUGAUUCCAACAAAAUACUUCGUUAUACAAUUCAUUGGAGAGCUUGAGGAAUACGGACUAGGAUACGUUCCAAUUCGUUGGGUAAAAUGUCGUGAUCCUGAGUAUAUACUUACUUUAUAUCCACCAAGGGGUGAAAUAAUACCGGAAAAUUAUAUUUAUAGUAACGAACGACCGUUAUCAUAUUGGAAGCCAUAUUUAGGAAUAAUAAUGUAUGAAACAGGUGAGGUCUUAUAAUAAUUUUAGCAAUUAGUGUUAAUUACUAACUUUUUGUGCCUUCUUAUUGUUAUUCUAUUUUUGUUAAAUUGCACUGCGAAGCUGACCCUGAGUAAAAAUCUUGCUUAGUCAAUGUCCGUAGUUGUUAUUGGCGUCGGGAGCAAAUCACAAUAAGCUGGUAGUACGGAAAAUAAUUGUGGUUGCUAUCCCAGUAGCUGUAGUUGAGGUUAUUAAAAGUUGGAGCUUAGAAAUAUCACCACCAACUUGGUAGACCUGAAAUAACCUCGCCCAGUAGUAGCGCCAACUACAGUCAUUAGUGUUUACUACAAAUUUAGUUGUUAGUACUGUUUAUGUAUCACUCUUUAGAUUUGUCCUAAAAGAAGAAUAUACUUCCUGUUUUCACCUUUCUUCAAUUAAUUAUGAAAAGCGCAUGCGCUUGCCUGUUUUCGAAACCCUAUUUUAUUAGAGUGGGAGUAAAAAUAUAAAACAGAUAGUAUUUUUAUCCUAUAAUUCAACCGACUCAUAGAUACUAAUUUAUGCUAAAGAUUUUUUCGAUAUUGUUAUUUUAUCUCAUUCUCACUCUUUGAUGGCCAUGCAACCGAGGUCACCUUAUUUAAAUAUUCAAAUAUUGACAUUUGCAUUUAUUUUUAAUUGUAUACAUUUGGAACUGAUAGUUAUAUAUACGAAUACAUAUUUAAUACCACUACGUCUUGUGUGGAGAACUAGUUGUUUACUCAGAUGUGAAGUAAUAUCAUUGGAGCAAUUUGCUGCUAGGAAAAAUAUAUUAUUGUUAGAAUUUUCUCUUUCAGAUAUUUUUGAAUACGGAAUAAUCUAUAUCUUUCACUACAAUUAUCUCCGUCGAACGAAUCUACGGUCAUUAUAUCCCGUUCACCAUUAAUGUCAGUCUUAGCUGUGAAUGUUGUUGAAACAAUGACGAAAAACCAUUAGAAAUUAACGUAUACGUUAAAUAUUUACUAAAUUUUAUAACUUAAAUUUGAGUCUUCAAUGUUCACUACUACGUCUUAAGUAUCAUUAAAUCAUUGACAUAUAAAUAUUAUUCGUUUCAUUUGACUGACCUUUACAUUAUUUGCAUGCUUUGUUCUGUUGUUACUGCAUAAUUAAACGAACAUUUUGUAUUAUAAAUACCAGUUCCAGUGAAGAAUAGUCACUCAGUUAUAAAUGCUGGAGGAAGAAUAUUGUUAAAGAAACAACGGUAUAAUUUUCAAAUAUUUUUCUGUUUGCUUUACUUUCUGUGCUACAUCUAAAUUACUAUUCAUAAAUAACGUUAGACUUCGUCAGAAAGGAAUAGAGGGACUGCAUCGGUCUCGUUCGAACACAGUGAUAAAAAUAGUUUAGUUUAAAUAGGAGCGAUAUGGAAAUGUCUACUCACUGGAAGCCCGAGUCCCUGACGAAGUGAACGUAUUAAGUUGCCAUAGUAUUGCGAGAUAACAGCCGAUACUACGUAAAUAUAAUAGUAGUAUGAAGAUAAUGUAAUCAAUCGUAUAAAGGAACAGGAACUAUUUAAUUCUUUUCCACUAACAAAUCAGUACUGAUGUUCAAGUGUAUGAAUGGUUUCUUGGACUAUUACAUCAGGACUAUUACGUCAGACAGAAACGAUGCAGACUUAUCAAUAUCACGUGGCGAAAUUCGCGGAAACACAUUAUGAUAAUCUAGAUAAAUAUGUAUGCGUGCCAG